rnacentral:lncRNA from 1 species
ACCAUAUCAAAUUUUAAAGAGAUAAAUUAUCUAAAAAAUUUAGAGAGAGAAACUAUGUCAAAUAAUUAUACUUUCUCUCUGUAAAACUUGAAAUUUGAGAUAGUUUCCCUCUCAUAAAAUUUUGAGAUAGGUUAUCUAUCUAUCUAAAUUUUUUUGGUAGUCUCUCUAUCUAAAAUUUGAUAUAGUUCUCUCUCUAAAAUUUUAAGACUUUCUCUCUCUAAACUUGAAUUUUUAAGAUAUUUUCUCUCCAAAAUGCUUUAGGUAGUUUCUCUCUCUAAAAUUUGAUAUAGUUUCACUCUAUGAAAUUUUAUGAUAGUUUCUCGCUAAAACUUAAAAUUUGGGAUAAUUUCUCCCUCUAAAAAUUUCCAGAUAAUUUCUCUCUCCAAAAUUUUAAGAUAUGUUUUCGCUUUAAAACUUGAUUAUUGAGAGAGUUUCACUUUCUAAAAAUUUUUGAGAUAGUUUUUCUCUCUAAAAAAUUCGGGUAGUUUAUUUCUCUAAAAUU